rnacentral:rRNA from 1 species
GACGAACUUUGGCGGCGUGCUUAACACAUGCAAGUCGAACGGAAAGGCCCUGCUUUUGUGGGGCGCUCGAGUGGCGAACGGGUGAGUAACACGUGAGUAACCUGCCCUUGACUUUGGGAUAACUUCAGGAAACUGGGGCUAAUACCGGAUAGGAGCUCCUGCUGCAUGGUGGGGGUUGGAAAGUUUCGGCGGUUGGGGAUGGACUCGCGGCUUAUCAGCUUGUUGGUGGGGUAGUGGCUUACCAAGGCUUUGACGGGUAGCCGGCCUGAGAGGGUGACCGGCCACAUUGGGACUGAGAUACGGCCCAGACUCCUACGGGAGGCAGCAGUGGGGAAUAUUGCACAAUGGGCGGAAGCCUGAUGCAGCAACGCCGCGUGCGGGAUGACGGCCUUCGGGUUGUAAACCGCUUUCGCCUGUGACGAAGCGUGAGUGACGGUAAUGGGUAAAGAAGCACCGGCUAACUACGUGCCAGCAGCCGCGGUGAUACGUAGGGUGCGAGCGUUGUCCGGAUUUAUUGGGCGUAAAGGGCUCGUAGGUGGUUGAUCGCGUCGGAAGUGUAAUCUUGGGGCUUAACCCUGAGCGUGCUUUCGAUACAGGUUGACUUGAGGAAGGUAGGGGAGAAUGGAAUUCCUGGUGGAGCGGUGGAAUGCGCAGAUAUCAGGAGGAACACCAGUGGCGAAGGCGGUUCUCUGGGCCUUUCCUGACGCUGAGGAGCGAAAGCGUGGGGAGCGAACAGGCUUAGAUACCCUGGUAGUCCACGCUGUAAACGGUGGGUACUAGGUGUGGGGUCCAUUCCACGGGUUCCGUGCCGUAGCUAACGCUUUAAGUACCCCGCCUGGGGAGUACGGCCGCAAGGCUAAAACUCAAAGGAAUUGACGGGGCCCCGCACAAGCGGCGGAGCAUGCGGAUUAAUUCGAUGCAACGCGUAGAACCUUACCUGGGUUUGACAUGGAUCGGGAGUGCUCAGAGAUGGGUGUGCCUCUUUUGGGGUCGGUUCACAGGUGGUGCAUGGCUGUCGUCAGCUCGUGUCGUGAGAUGUUGGGUUAAGUCCCGCAACGAGCGCAACCCUUGUUCACUGUUGCCAGCACGUUAUGGUGGGGACUCAGUGGAGACCGCCGGGGUCAACUCGGAGGAAGAUGGGGAUGACGUCAAGUCAUCAUGCCCCUUAUGUCCAGGGCUUCACGCAUGCUACAAUGGCUGGUACAGAGAGUGGCGAGCCUGUGAGGGUGAGCGAAUCUCGGAAAGCCGGUCUCAGUUCGGAUUGGGGUCUGCAACUCGACCUCAUGAAGUCGGAGUCGCUAGUAAUCGCAGAUCAGCAACGCUGCGAUGAAUACGUUCCCGGGGCU